CCUACGGGUGGCUGCAGUGGGGAAUAUUGCACAAUGGGGGAAACCCUGAUGCAGCGACGCCGCGUGAGUGAAGAAGUAUUUCGGUAUGUAAAGCUCUAUCAGCAGGGAAGAAGAUGACGGUACCUGACUAAGAAGCCCCGGCUAACUACGUGCCAGCAGCCGCGGUAAUACGUAGGGGGCAAGCGUUAUCCGGAUUUACUGGGUGUAAAGGGAGGGUAGACGGUGGGCCAAGUCUGAAGUGAAAGCCGGGGGCCCAACCCCGGGACUGCUUUGGAAACUGGAUGGCUGGAGUGCAGGAGAGGUAAGCGGAAUUCCUAGUGUAGCGGUGAAAUGCGUAGAUAGUAGGAGGAACACCAGUGGCGAAGGCGGCUUACUGGACUGUAACUGACGUGGAGGCUCGAAAGCGUGGGGAGCAAACAGGAUUAGAUACCCGUGUAGUC
rnacentral:rRNA from 1 species